UCUACAGCUGUUAUCAGGCAACUGUAUCAUCCUAUCACAGCCAGAGAGCAGUGCUGAACUACUAUCUACCUUUUUGGUGACCCUCGGACUAUCCUUGAUCGGACUUUGCUGGCUUUAACUUGCACUAAACAUUAUUCCCUU